AGGUAGUUUUUGCAAACCAUAGAGAAGAGAAAGAAUCGAAUGUUUACAUUAACCAAAUUUACGUUGCACAAGAACUAAUAUUAAUAUUUUAUUUUUCUAAAUAUUAUUUUAUAACAGACAAGCAGCGUGAGCGAAAUUGAAAAAAAAUUUAUUCAUCAACUGUAUUUAUACUUUCAUUCAAGAAAGAUUAAAUCGUAAGAAUUAAUUGUGUUCUUGGAUGACCUUACUACUCACACAAGUACAACUAAAUAAUAUAAAAUAUAAAAAAAAAAAAUAAAUAAAAUGAGUCUGAAUUAAUUUAUUUCAAUUUUUUUAAUUGUUUAUGAACGAUAACUGUUCAACGAGUGAAUAAACUUUCCAUGAACGUGUGGAUGAGUUUUUAUUAUAAUUUUAUUUAAUUCAGAAAUUUAACUGGAUAAAAUUUCUGAUCUUAAUUCCAACCGAUGCAAAUUGAAUCUAGAUCGAUCAAUUCUUUUUAGAGAAUAUAAAAUCAUUGCACUACAUAAUGUUAGAGCAUCAGAAAUACGAAAUUAAAAGAAAAUUUUCAUCACGAAUUGAUCAGGUUUUAACUUAUAGAGAAUACUGCAUAAGCACGAUGUCUUUUCGAUUUUAUUCAAAAUUUCUGAUUUAACUAUUGUGGAUACAACGCUAAUGAUUUUAUUUAAUUUUAUAAAUAAUUGAAUUUAUUCAAAAUCCUUGAUCCUGAUUUGAGUAAAUAAAUUAUCAUAUGUACAGUUAUAAAAACCUAUUCGAUGGAGGAUGGAAAUUUCUGUAACUAAAAUUCUGACUUAACUUCCGUGACAUCAACAAAAAAGCCUAAAAUAAAUUUCAUGCAGAGUUAAAUUACCUACAACUUCAAUCCUAUAUAUAUCUGUCGUAUUUUGAAUCAUUUAGCUGAAAUUUUUGUUUAGUUUCAUCGACACCAAGUAAAAUAUUUAUCAUUUUUUAAAUUAAAAUUAAAGUUGAACGAUCAAAGUUACAUCAGAAAUAUACUAAGUGAAUUUUACGAAGAACUGAAUCAUCACCAACAAAGACAUUUCUUAUUAUAUUUUCUUUUAACUUAAGAUUUUGAUUCAUUAUCUGUCAGACAUGAAGAAAACGCUAAAAUAAAUUUCAGAGAAAAUUAAAUUCUUAAAAACUUCAAUUGAAUUUUCCUGAGUACUUGAUUAUUUCACUGAAAUUAUUAUUUGCUGGUCUCUGUACAGUUUAUGGUGGAAGCCGAUUUUUUUUAUCUUAUUCAAUUAUGAAACUCUAGAUGAACUUUCUUUAGAUGAAUAAAUAUUUAAUCGUGCAUCAACUAGAACUUCGAUUCAAUGUUAUCUAUAUCGCAAUUUAUAGAAAGCCACAAGGACAAGAUGUUUUUUUUAUUUGUUCCAAAAUCUGGGCUGAACUAUCGAUGAUGAUAUUAAAUACCAAAUCAUAAAAAAAAAUAGAAUUUUGAUUAAACAUAAUUCUAUUGCAUGAAAUCUUUGAUCAUUCAGUAAAAAUUAAAAAUGUGUUUUUCUGAAAGUCAAUAUGAAUGAAAAUUAACAAAAAAUAAUUAUAUUUAUCGAUGAUAUUAAAAUUGUUGCUGACCUGUUGGAGAAAUAAAUUAAUAAUGUGAACAACUUUUGGAGAGAUAUUAAAUGAGGUCGUAGGAAAUUUGAUAAAAAAUUAUGUUCUUUAAAAAUAUGCCAACGUGUCAGUCAAAAUUCUCGCUAAAUCAUGAUACACACAUCUACAAUAAAUCAGUACAAUUUUGUGAAAAAUUAUUUUGUCCAUAAGAAAGUUUUCGAAUACGUUGCUCGUAAACUCAACAGUUCGGCUGUAAUAUUUAGUCUAAUGAGGUAAUAAAGAAUUCAAUGAAAAAUUAGUUAUUUAGAAAUCUGCCAGCAUGUCAAUCACAAUACUCGCUAAGCUAUAAGAGAUACGUCUCAAAUGAAUCAGUUCAAUUUUGUCAGAAAUUAUUUGAUCUAGAAAAAAUUUUUCAAUAACAUUGCUCGUAAACUCAACAGAUCGGAUGUAAUUUCUAGUAUAAUAAGUAAAGUGGGCCAAAAGAAAGAACUAAUUUUUUUUUUUCGUUAGCUAACGUAAAAAUCUGGUUAAAAAUGAUGAAAAAAAAUAACAGUAAAGUUUGAGUUCUUAAUGUUUACAUUAAGAAGCGCCUCUUCGUAAUUUUUCAUUUCCCAUUUGAAUAACAGGAAAAAAAUAUUUUAAGUAUGGAAUUUUAUACCUUGGCCCUGGCUUAUUGUACAGAUAAAUUCAGAAUAUAGUUUUGUAGGGAAUUGAACG